rnacentral:rRNA from 1 species
AGAGUUUGAUCCUGGCUCAGGAUGAACGCUGGCGGUAUGCUUAAUACAUGCAAGUCGUACGAAGGCUUUUAGCCUUAGUGGCGGACGGGUGAGUAACACGUGAGAAUCUGCCCUUAGGAGGAGGAUAACAGCUGGAAACGGUUGCUAAUACUCCAUAUGCCGAGAGGUGAAAGAAUUUAUUUGCCUAAGGAGGAGCUCGCGUCUGAUUAGCUAGUUGGUAGGGUAAUGGCCUACCAAGGCGACGAUCAGUAGCUGGUUUGAGAGGAUGAUCAGCCACACUGGGACUGAGACACGGCCCAGACUCCUACGGGAGGCAGCAGUAGGGAAUUUUCCGCAAUGGGCGAAAGCCUGACGGAGCAAUACCGCGUGAGGGAUGACGGCCUGUGGGUUGUAAACCUCUUUUCUCAAGGAAGAAGUUCUGACGGUACUUGAGGAAUAAGCAUCGGCUAACUCUGUGCCAGCAGCCGCGGUAAUACAGAGGAUGCAAGCGUUAUCCGGAAUCACUGGGCAUAAAGCGUCUGUAGGUGGUUUGGUAAGUCUGCUGUUAAAGACUGGGGCUCAACCCCAGAAAAGCAGUGGAAACUGCCAGACUUGAGUGUGGUAGAGGUAGAGGGAAUUCCUAGUGUAGCGGUGAAAUGCGUAGAUAUUAGGAAGAACACCAAUGGCGAAGGCACUCUACUGGACCAUAACUGACACUGGGAGACGACAGCUAGGGGAGCAAAUGGGAUUAGAUACCCCAGUAGUCCUAGCCGUAAACGAUGGAUACUAGAUGUUGCACGUAUUAACCCGUGCAGUAUCGU